AUAUUAUGGCAUAACUUCUGUUUUGAUAGUCAAGCAAAAGUAAUAAUAUUGUAUUCUGCACGUGUUACAGUACUGUACAAAAGCCUGAGCUUUUUUCAUGAAAUAAAUAAUUUAUUUAAUAACAAAUGCAUUGUACAGACAGACCAGUUGUUACAUUUUAAUUUGUCCCUGGUUAAACCUAAUAUCCAUUGUUACAUUUGAGAAAACACAUAACAUGACUCCUUUUCAACAGUGCUACAUAUACAUAUUCUGCUUAGUAUGAGAGAUGACAUUAUUCAGAGAAAAAGGAUUACUGUAUGUAGUUUAGCUGGGCCUGGGUUUGGGCCUGGAAGUCAGUGGUCUGGGAGUGAUGGGAUGUGCCUCACAACAGAAUGAGAAGGCCAGUCCAGAGAGGUACACCUCCCAGCCAUGGUAAAGACCAGUCCUUUAGUAUAUACCUGCAGAUGGCCAGAAUGGGAAACCAUAGGAAGUGAAGUGCAGCGUAGCCAGCCCAGCUGCAAUAUGGCCGUCAGAUACAGUACCAGACACAAUUUUGGAUACACCUACUCAUUCAAGGGUUUUUCUUUAUUUUUUACUAUUUUCUACAUUGUAGAAUAAUAGCGAAGACAUCAAAACUAUGAAAUAACACAUAUGGAAUCAUCAGGUGUGUCCAAACUUUUGACUGGUACUGUACAUUCUAUUUGACCUAGAACUGGGUCUGAAAUGAGUCAAAAUAUGUCAUAUUGUUAAUGGAAUUUAUAUGAUUAAAGGUUUGACUAAAUGAUUUCACCGUGAAAAUGUAUAACCGAGUGAUUAUAAGAUGAAUGUACUAAUGUGUGUGUGUAGGAAAAGUUGAAGCUUAAUGAUUUAGCAAUGUAAGCAAGACGUUCAAGAAAAAGGGGAACUGUUAACAGACAGCAGACAACUUGUGACUACUGUGAAACUGAUAACAGGAGGGGAGAAACCGUUAGGCUUGCAGUAGAUUAUGUAACAUGAGGCAGGAUAUGAUAAGCAAUGUAUGUGAUGGAGAAGACUUGGAAAUAAGCAUUGACAGUGUUAAAGAAGAGGAGGGGGCAUUUGUAAAGGGUAUGACAUAUUGUAUGACCAAAUGUUAGGUAUAAAAGGCUGUGUACAUUGUAUGAUAUUCAGAGCUCUCGUAAAUAAACGUUCUGACCAUUGUUAGCUGGGUCUCAGUCUGUUUCUUUCAACCGGAACCUUACACCUUGUGGUAUACAAACUGAGUAGUUAAAUUGAAGUUCGGUUUAAGAACAUUGAUAACUUAAUUCACGUAACGCGUAUGUAGAAAAAAUACAUGAAGUACUGACAUCAUGAGGCAACACAUUAGAACUGGCUCAACCAGUUAGUAUAAAAUUGUCUGCAUGACUGCAUAAACACAUAUUUCAUUGAAGGCAGGUCCAUGACAUGAGAGUGUGUAAGUGGAUCCCUACUGUUGCUGGGCCAAAUGUGGUUGAUGAUAAUGAUAGAAAAGCCUGCACAUGGUAUACACGUAUGUUCAUGGUAUACAAGUAUGAUCAUGGUAUACACGCAUGUUGCUCUCAUGUACAUUCCAUGGGUGCAGCAUGCAACCAUGUGUGGGCUUUUCUGUCAUUAGUUUCAUAAAAUGCACUCACUCUCUGAAUGAUGGGUUCAUUGAUAAUGCAAAAGGUAAAUCCAAAAAAUGGUAAAAGAAAUCCCCCACAAAAUCCUUAUUUACAAGUAGAAAGAGUACUUUCAAACGAAGCUGUCAAUUCAGGUAAUUUACAAAGUCUCUACACAAGGCAUGGGCUAUGGCAAGGGCCUCAGAGCCAUCAGAACCAUCUGAGAGCUGCCUCAGCGGGCAGGCCAGCCAGGUGAGAGGAUGGGUGGGGGUGGAGGAGCCUGUCCUCUCACGUCGUCCUGGUUCUCAGAGAGCUCAUCCUGAGCACGGUGAGCUCCGCUACAUCUGCAUCCUGCAUCUCAGACUCCUGCUGGCAGCUCUCUCUGAUCACAUACACUAUGAGUCCCACACAGAUGAUUAUGAGAAGAAAUAUACCUAUAACCUGAUAUAUCAGGGGGCAGAAAUAAAGAUUGAAUAAGGUGAAUAACAUCCUAAAUGUGACUGCAAUGCAUAGACUAGACAUCUUUGUCAUUGAUAACAUACAACUCCAUCACCCCACAUAGGUAGAGUGAUU
rnacentral:lncRNA from 1 species